CCUCGCUUAGCUCAGUUGGUAGAGCACCUGACUGUAGAUCAGGCUGUCCCCAGUUCAAGUCUGGGAGCGGGGA
rnacentral:tRNA from 1 species